UAAAAAUGUAAAAAAAAAUAUAAUAGAGUAGUAUUAGUUAUGGUCUUGAAACUUAAAAAAUUUGGCGGUAUUUUAUUCUUUUUAGAGGAACUUGUUUUAUAAUUGAUAAUCCUCAUUGAAUCUUACUUAAUUUAGUUUAAUUAGUAUAUCGUUGUCAUAAGAAUGUCUUAAAAAAGAAAUAAUUUUCUAAUUUAAUAAUUAUUUUAUAUGUCAGAUCAAGGUGCUGUUUAUAGUUAAGUAAAAAUGAGUUACAAUUAAUUAAUUAUUAAUUAUGAAUUAAAAUUUUAAAUAAUUUUAUGAAGGUGGAUUUAAAAGUAAAUUUUUAGAGAUAGUAAAAU
rnacentral:rRNA from 1 species